AAGUCGAGCGAGCUGAACCAACAGAUUCACUUCGGUGAUGACGUUGGGAACGCGAGCGGCGGAUGGGUGAGUAACACGUGGGGAACCUGCCCCAUAGUCUGGGAUACCACUUGGAAACAGGUGCUAAUACCGGAUAAGAAAGCAGAUCGCAUGAUCAGCUUAUAAAAGGCGGCGUAAGCUGUCGCUAUGGGAUGGCCCCGCGGUGCAUUAGCUAGUUGGUAGGGUAACGGCCUACCAAGGCAAUGAUGCAUAGCCGAGUUGAGAGACUGAUCGGCCACAUUGGGACUGAGACACGGCCCAAACUCCUACGGGAGGCAGCAGUAGGGAAUCUUCCACAAUGGACGAAAGUCUGAUGGAGCAACGCCGCGUGAGUGAAGAAGGUUUUCGGAUCGUAAAGCUCUGUUGUUGGUGAAGAAGGAUAGAGGUAGUAACUGGCCUUUAUUUGACGGUAAUCAACCAGAAAGUCACGGCUAACUACGUGCCAGCAGCCGCGGUAAUACGUAGGUGGCAAGCGUUGUCCGGAUUUAUUGGGCGUAAAGCGAGCGCAGGCGGAAGAAUAAGUCUGAUGUGAAAGCCCUCGGCUUAACCGAGGAACUGCAUCGGAAACUGUUUUUCUUGAGUGCAGAAGAGGAGAGUGGAACUCCAUGUGUAGCGGUGGAAUGCGUAGAUAUAUGGAAGAACACCAGUGGCGAAGGCGGCUCUCUGGUCUGCAACUGACGCUGAGGCUCGAAAGCAUGGGUAGCGAACAGGAUUAGAUACCCUGGUAGUCCAUGCCGUAAACGAUGAGUGCUAAGUGUUGGGAGGUUUCCGCCUCUCAGUGCUGCAGCUAACGCAUUAAGCACUCCGCCUGGGGAGUACGACCGCAAGGUUGAAACUCAAAGGAAUUGACGGGGGCCCGCACAAGCGGUGGAGCAUGUGGUUUAAUUCGAAGCAACGCGAAGAACCUUACCAGGUCUUGACAUCUAGUGCAAUCCGUAGAGAUAC
rnacentral:rRNA from 1 species